rnacentral:rRNA from 1 species
GUCGACGAUUACUCCUACGGGAGGCAGCAGUAAGGAAUAUUGCGCAAUGGGCGAAAGCCUGACGCAGCGACGCCGCGUGGGGGAUGAAGGUCUUCGGAUUGUAAACCCCUUUCGGGAGGGAAGAUGGAGCGAGCAAUCGUUCGGACGGUACCUCCAGAAGCAGCCACGGCCAACUUCGUGCCAGCAGCCGCGGUAAUAAUCUCUAGA